GCUGGGCACAGUGGUGCACGCCUGUAGUCCCAGCUACUUGGGAAGCUGAGGCAAGAAGAUUGCUUGAGCCCAGGGACAUCCAAGGCCAUGUGGGCGAUGUAGCAAGGUGCCAUCUU
rnacentral:sRNA from 1 species